rnacentral:misc_RNA from 1 species
UUGAGGCCGACGAGAGGG